rnacentral:sRNA from 14 species
CUUUAAAAAUCUGGAUCAAGCUGAAAAUUGAAACGACACAUCUUUAAUGGUGUGUUCGAGUCUCUCAAAUUUUCGCGACACGAUGGUGUUUUACGAAACAUCUUCGG